CCUGUGAGGCAUGCUGGAGGUAUCAGAAGUGCGAAUGCUGACAUAAGUAACGAUAAAGCGGGUGAAAAGCCCGCUCGCCGGAAGACCAAGGGUUCCUGUCCAACGUUAAUCGGGGCAGGGUGAGUCGACCCCUAAGGCGAGGCCGAAAGGCGUAGUCGAUGGGAAACGGGUUAAUAUUCCCGUACUUGGUGUUACUGCGAAGGGGGGACGGAGAAGGCUAUGUUGGCCGGGCGACGGUUGUCCCGGUUUAAGCGUGUAGGUGUGUGUUCCAGGUAAAUCCGGUUCACUUUAACACUGAGGCGUGACGACGAGGCACUACGGUGCUGAAGCAACAAAUGCCCUGCUUCCAGGAAAAGCCUCUAAGCAUCAGGUAACACGAAAUCGUACCCCAAACCGACACAGGUGGUCAGGUAGAGAAUACCAAGGCGCUUGAGAGAACUCGGGUGAAGGAACUAGGCAAAAUGGUGCCGUAACUUCGGGAGAAGGCACGCUGACACGUAGGUGAAGUGAUUUACUCAUGGAGCUGAAGUCAGUCGAAGAUACCAGCUGGCUGCAACUGUUUAUUAAAAACACAGCACUGUGCAAACACGAAAGUGGACGUAUACGGUGUGACGCCUGCCCGGUGCCGGAAGGUUAAUUGAUGGGGUCAGCGCAAGCGAAGCUCCUGAUCGAAGCCCCGGUAAACGGCGGCCGUAACUAUAACGGUCCUAAGGUAGCGAAAUUCCUUGUCGGGUAAGUUCCGACCUGCACGAAUGGCGUAAUGAUGGCCAGGCUGUCUCCACCCGAGACUCAGUGAAAUUGAACUCGCUGUGAAGAUGCAGUGUACCCGCGGCAAGACGGAAAGACCCCGUGAACCUUUACUAUAGCUUGACACUGAACAUUGAGCCUUGAUGUGUAGGAUAGGUGGGAGGCUUUGAAGUGUGGACGCCAGUCUGCAUGGAGCCGACCUUGAAAUACCACCCUUUAAUGUUUGAUGUUCUAACGUGGACCCGUAAUCCGGGUUGCGGACAGUGUCUGGUGGGUAGUUUGACUGGGGCGGUCUCCUCCUAAAGAGUAACGGAGGAGCACGAAGGUUGGCUAAUCCUGGUCGGACAUCAGGAGGUUAGUGCAAUGGCAUAAGCCAGCUUGACUGCGAGCGUGACGGCGCGAGCAGGUGCGAAAGCAGGUCAUAGUGAUCCGGUGGUUCUGAAUGGAAGGGCCAUCGCUCAACGGAUAAAAGGUACUCCGGGGAUAACAGGCUGAUACCGCCCAAGAGUUCAUAUCGACGGCGGUGUUUGGCACCUCGAUGUCGGCUCAUCACAUCCUGGGGCUGAAGUAGGUCCCAAGGGUAUGGCUGUUCGCCAUUUAAAGUGGUACGCGAGCUGGGUUUAGAACGUCGUGAGACAGUUCGGUCCCUAUCUGCCGUGGGCGCUGGAGAACUGAGGGGGGCUGCUCCUAGUACGAGAGGACCGGAGUGGACGCAUCACUGGUGUUCGGGUUGUCAUGCCAAUGGCACUGCCCGGUAGCUAAAUGCGGAAGAGAUAAGUGCUGAAAGCAUCUAAGCACGAAACUUGCCCCGAGAUGAGUUCUCCCUGAGACUU
rnacentral:rRNA from 1 species